rnacentral:rRNA from 1 species
UACAGAGGUCUCAAGCGUUGUUCGGAAUCACUGGGCGUAAAGGGUGCGUAGGUGGCGUAGUAAGUCAGAUGUGAAAGCCCGAGGCUCAACCUCGGAAUUGCAUCCGAUACUGCUAUGCUAGAGUAUUGAAGAGGUGACUAGAAUUCUCGGUGUAGCAGUGAAAUGCGUAGAUAUCGAGAGGAAUACCAAAGGCGAAGGCAGGUCACUGGGCAAUUACUGACACUGAGG